GUGGGUAGAGAAAUGAGUGGAAGCUGGAAUCGCUGUCCUGCGAGAAGCCACAAGGUGGCGCUGGGUGCUCAGCAAUGAGAUUCCUGCCUCCAGAGAUUUGGCUCAACUUUUCUCUAUCAAUGUCAGCUUAUUAAAAAAAAAAAAAAAAAAAAAAGCAGUCUUUUUCUAGUCCAUAAUUUUCCUUAAUAAAACAGGGUAACAUUUUCCCUUUCAUAUGUUGUCUUUACAGAGUGACAUGCUUGAGGAAGAGUGAUGAAUAAUACUGAGGAUGAUUCAACGUCUCUUGGUUUUACUUCUGCACCACCCAAACAGAAAAUAAUUAGACAAGAACAUUUCUUUUUCUAUAUCAGUGUCAUAACAUGUAUUAUUACAGUGCGGUGUAACCACAUGUCAGAAGAGAAUGUGUAGCUCAAAACACUGAACUAGGUGGAGAGGCCGAGGCCUUAAUUCUCCAAGAGACUGGGACCUGUGCUGGGUUCUAGCGCCUGUUCAGCGUCAGAAUCAUCAGCUGGCUGUGAGCCUACGUGAAUUUUUCUCCACUCAAUCUCAUCAUCCUUCAGACAGGCGGAGAGAGCGGGAUCCAUCUAUGAGAUUUCUCUGCUGAGAAAUCUCCUCCCUCCCUCCAAUGAAGCAACAGCAGGUCAUAUCUGAAUGCAGAAGCAUGGCCUUGUGCUGGGAAAACACAUCCUGGCUGUAGAGCUCUCAGGCUUCUAGAGUCAAAGCCAAGGGUUCAAAUCCUCUCUGUCUUACUCAGAAGCCACAUGGUCCUGAGACAGUGAAGUAACUCUGUGAACCUCAGUUUACCAAUCUGUAAGAUGGGGAUCAUAAUGUAAAAGAUGGCAUUAAAACUUACAUUGGGAAAAA
rnacentral:lncRNA from 1 species